GGCUACAUGAAGGUCAAUCAAUAGAAAGGUCAUUAUGGGUGAUCCAGUGGUGGAGGGGCAUUAGAGAGGACAGAGAGAAGACAUGAAAACAGAGAAGAAGAGAGGCAGCCACAGCCAUGAGAUGGUGUCCAAUCGGAUUGAGCGACCAAAGGGGAAAAUGAAGAGGCUGCAAAGAGGAGAUAUAAUGAGGGAAAGUAGAACCGGAUCUGACGGUUGAGUGGCUUACGUUGACUGCCGGCCACAGAGGUGACAACAGAGUCAACAGAGCUGAGAGAGGAACGGGGAGAAAGGAAGAUAAAACAAAGUUAUCUUAAGGCCAAAAUAGUAGGUCUAAGCCAAGGGUAGAAUAAUGAAAAUUGUUGCUGUUGAACUCCGAGGUCAAGCUAAGGUUGGUAGGGCCAAAGUCAAUUGAGAUUGGUGAGGUUGCUGAAGCUCCUGUAUUAACCAUUGAACUUGCAAAGAACUCCUCUUGCUGGGGUCUUUUGGUGAGGGCGAGAGAAUAGUGGGAGAGCGAGAGAAUGAAAGCUCUAGAGAGGGCUUGAGAGGCUUACCUAAGGGUCUCCUACCUCCCUCUAUUGAUAAAGGGAGGUCAGUGACCGUUUCCACGACAAGUGGUGCAUGUAGAGAACUGCACACAAUGGCUAGAUCAUGGCUUAAAUGGCC
rnacentral:lncRNA from 1 species